rnacentral:rRNA from 1 species
UACAGAGGGUGCAAGCGUUAAUCGGAAUUACUGGGCGUAAAGGGCGCGUAGGUGGUUGAUUAAGUCAGAUGUGAAAUCCCUGGGCUUAACCUAGGAAUUGCAUUUGAUACUGGUCGGCUAGAGUACAGAAGAGGGAAGUGGAAUUUCCGGUGUAGCGGUGAAAUGCGUAGAUAUCGGAAGGAACAUCAGUGGCGAAGGCGACUUCCUGGUCUGUUACUGACACUGAGGCGCGAAAGCGUGGGGAGCAAACAGG